CACAGGCAUGUAGCUGUCGACAGCAACAACUGGAUACUUAGCAUCAAGCAGCAGGCGAGAAAUCUUUGGAUCUCUAGAAGAGAAGAAAUUGUGAAUGAGCAAACAACAACAAUCAGUCAUAUUAGAGUUGCUACAUUUCUUACAUGGCUUGUUUUCUCUGUCAAAAUGGAUCUACAACUACACAAAACAGGGACAAAUAAUGGUACUACACAACUUACAGGAAAGCUCAAAUGAGAUAAAGGCCACACAAUUACAACGUUUAAAAGACAGAAACAUAAGAGAGCUUCUAGAAAAGAGUAGCAGAAAGAGCAGCAACAGUGGUGAACCUGAGAGAGGUCCUCCAAGGGAUUAUUGAGCUAUUCAUGUUUGCAAAUGAAAAGAAUUCCUCUUCAGUCCACACAAGGUAAAGACAAAAAGUACAGAAUACUCCAAAAAGAUCCUAUUUACUUGAAUGACACGUAAAACUGAUGGAGAGGGAGUUUCACCAGCCCGAGCAGCUUGUCCUGUCCUGGGCUCCGCACCUUGUUCCAAGUUUCAAUUAUCAUCACAUUAUUUUUAAGCCUUUCCAGGUAUUUGGAAGACAGAGAGAUAGGAAUCACCUG